rnacentral:rRNA from 1 species
UAGGGAAUAUUGCAAAAUGGGCGAAAGCCCGAUGCAGCAACGCCGCGUGGGCGAUGAAGGCCUUCGGGUCGUAAAGCCCUUUUUGAGGGGAUGAGGAAGGACAGUACCCUCAGAAUAAGCCUCGGCUAACUACGUGCCAGCAGCCGCGGUAAAACGUAGGAGGCGAGCGUUAUCCGGAUUUACUGGGCGUAAAGCGCGUGCAGGCGGAUUGGAGAGUUGGAUGUGAAAGCUCCCGGCUUAACUGGGAGAGGUCGUUCAAUACUUCCAGUCUUGAGUGCAGUAGAGGGAAGUGGAAUUCCGGGUGUAGUGGUUAAAUGCGUAGAUAUCCGGAGGAACACCAGUGGCGAAAGCGGCUUCCUGGACUGUAACUGACGCUCAGACGCGAAAGCUAGGGUAGCAAACG